rnacentral:rRNA from 1 species
CUGGAGGUAUCAGAAGUGCGAAUGCUGACAUAAGUAACGAUAAAGCGGGUGAAAAGCCCGCUCGCCGGAAGACCAAGGGUUCCUGUCCAACGUUAAUCGGGGCAGGGUGAGUCGACCCCUAAGGCGAGGCCGAAAGGCGUAGUCGAUGGGAAACAGGUUAAUAUUCCUGUACUUGGUGUUACUGCGAAGGGGGGACGGAGAAGGCUAUGUUGGCCGGGCGACGGUUGUCCCGGUUUAAGCGUGUAGGCUGGUUUUCCAGGCAAAUCCGGAAAAUCAAGGCUGAGGCGUGAUGACGAGGCACUGCGGUGCUGAAGCAACAAAUGCCCUGCUUCCAGGAAAAGCCUCUAAGCAUCAGGUAACAUCAAAUCGUACCCCAAACCGACACAGGUGGUCAGGUAGAGAAUACCAAGGCGCUUGAGAGAACUCGGGUGAAGGAACUAGGCAAAAUGGUGCCGUAACUUCGGGAGAAGGCACGCUGAUAUGUAGGUGAAGUCCCUCGCGGAUGGAGCUGAAAUCAGUCGAAGAUACCAGCUGGCUGCAACUGUUUAUUAAAAACACAGCACUGUGCAAACACGAAAGUGGACGUAUACGGUGUGACGCCUGCCCGGUGCCGGAAGGUUAAUUGAUGGGGUUAGCGCAAGCGAAGCUCUUGAUCGAAGCCCCGGUAAACGGCGGCCGUAACUAUAACGGUCCUAAGGUAGCGAAAUUCCUUGUCGGGUAAGUUCCGACCUGCACGAAUGGCGUAAUGAUGGCCAGGCUGUCUCCACCCGAGACUCAGUGAAAUUGAACUCGCUGUGAAGAUGCAGUGUACCCGCGGCAAGACGGAAAGACCCCGUGAACCUUUACUAUAGCUUGACACUGAACAUUGAGCCUUGAUGUGUAGGAUAGGUGGGAGGCUUUGAAGUGUGGACGCCAGUCUGCAUGGAGCCGACCUUGAAAUACCACCCUUUAAUGUUUGAUGUUCUAACGUUGACCCGUAAUCCGGGUUGCGGACAGUGUCUGGUGGGUAGUUUGACUGGGGCGGUCUCCUCCUAAAGAGUAACGGAGGAGCACGAAGGUUGGCUAAUCCUGGUCGGACAUCAGGAGGUUAGUGCAAUGGCAUAAGCCAGCUUGACUGCGAGCGUGACGGCGCGAGCAGGUGCGAAAGCAGGUCAUAGUGAUCCGGUGGUUCUGAAUGGAAGGGCCAUCGCUCAACGGAUAAAAGGUACUCCGGGGAUAACAGGCUGAUACCGCCCAAGAGUUCAUAUCGACGGCGGUGUUUGGCACCUCGAUGUCGGCUCAUCACAUCCUGGGGCUGAAGUAGGUCCCAAGGGUAUGGCUGUUCGCCAUUUAAAGUGGUACGCGAGCUGGGUUUAGAACGUCGUGAGACAGUUCGGUCCCUAUCUGCCGUGGGCGCUGGAGAACUGAGGGGGGCUGCUCCUAGUACGAGAGGACCGGAGUGGACGCAUCACUGGUGUUCGGGUUGUCAUGCCAAUGGCACUGCCCGGUAGCUAAAUGCGGAAGAGAUAAGUGCUGAAAGCAUCUAAGCACGAAACUUGCCCCGAGAUGAGUUCUCCCUGACUCCUUGAG